GGAAAUCUCACCAGGCCCGGACACUGGAAGGAUUGACAGAUUGAUAGCUCUUUCUUGAUUCGGUGGGUGGUGGUGCAUGGCCGUUCUUAGUAGGUUGAGUGUUUUGUCUGGUUAAUUCCGUUAACGAACGAGACCUUAACCUGCUAAAUAGUGACGCGGUUCAUCGAACCGUGGGCCACUUCUUAGAGGGACUAUCGGAUUCAAACCGAUGGAAGUGUGAGGCAAUAA
rnacentral:rRNA from 1 species